GUUUUAUUCCGUUGUGUUGGAGUUUUUUUGUGGGGGUGGGGGUGGGUGUGUUUGUUCUGUUUUGUUUUUGUUUUUGUGGUGGUGGUGUUGCUUUUUGGGUUUAGGUUGCUUUCACAGCAAAGGUCUGCAGCUUCACUCCUGUAAGCCACCGAGACUGCGAACACUCCAGAAAGAAUGAACGCCUCCAGACGCGCUUCCUUAAGACUUGUAACACUCCUCGCGAGGAUCUCCAGGUUCCCUCCUUGAGCUAGCGAGAUCACGAACCCACCAGAAGGAUGAAACUCCGAACACAACAUCAAAAGGAGCAAACUCCGGCCACGCCGCCUUUAAGAACUGUGAUAUUCACCGUGAGGGUCCGUGGCUUCAUUCUUCAAGUCAGACGAAGAGCCCACGAAUUCCGGACACAAGGUUGGACUCAGCGCUGUUGCCA
rnacentral:lncRNA from 10 species